CCUGGUUGAUCCUGCCAGUGGUCAUAUGCUUGUCUCAAAGAUUAAGCCAUGCAUGUCUAAGCACAAGCUUAAACAAAGUGAAGCCGCGAAUAGCUCAUUACAACAGCCAUUGUUUACUUGAUCUUGAAAUCCUACUUGGAUAACUGUGGUAAUUCUAGAGCUAAUACACGCAAUCAAGCUCUGACCCCUCGGGGGACGAGUGCAUUUAUUAGAACAAAACCAAUCGGACCUCGGUCCGCUCUUUGGUGAAUCUGAAUAACUCAGCAGAUCGCACGGUCUUGUACCGGCGACGUAUCAUUCAAGUGUCUGCCUUAUCAACUGUUGAUGGUAGUUUAUGCGACUACCAUGGUUGUAACGGGUAACGGAGAAUAAGGGUUCGACUCCGGAGAGAGAGCCUGAGAAACGGCUACCACAUCCAAGGAAGGCAGCAGGCGCGUAAAUUACCCACUCUCGGCACGAGGAGGUAGUGAGGAAAAAUAACGAGACGGUUCUCAUUGAGGCCCGUUAUCGGAAUGAGUACAAUCCAAACCCUUUAACGAGGAUCUAUCAGAGGGCAAGUCUGGUGCCAGCAGCCGCGGUAAUUCCAGCUCUGAAGGUGUAUACCACCGUUGUUGCGGUUAAAACGCUCGUAGUUGGAUCUAUGUUCGUGGAGUCGGUGUUCUCGUAUGAGAUCUACUGACUACCUGAACUGAAAUAGCUGGUUUUCCCUUGGUGCUCUUUAUUGAGUGCCUUGGGUGGCUAGCAAGUUUACUUUGAAAAAAUUAGAGUGCUCAAAACAGGCGCAUGCCUGAAUAGUGGUGCAUGGAAUAACGGAAUAGGAUCUUGGUCCUAUUUUGUUGGUUUUCGGGAGCCAAGAUAAUGAUUAAGAGGGACAGACGGGGGCAUUCGUAUUGCAGCGUUAGAGGUGAAAUUCUUGGAUCGUUGCAAGACGAACAACUGCGAAAGCAUUUGCCAAGAAUGUUUUCAUUAAUCAAGAACGAAAGUUAGAGGUUCGAAGGCGAUCAGAUACCGCCCUAGUUCUAACCGUAAACGAUGCCAACUCGCGAUCUAGUGGUGUUAGCAAUGACCCGCUAGGGAGCGUCCCGGAAACGAAAGUUUUUCGGUUCCGGGGGAAGUAUGGUUGCAAAGCUGAAACUUAAAGGAAUUGACGGAAGGGCACCACCAGGAGUGGAGCCUGCGGCUUAAUUUGACCCAACACGGGAAAACUCACCCGGCCCGGACACCGUAAGGAUUGACAGAUUGAGAGCUCUUUCUUGAUUCGGUGGGUGGUGGUGCAUGGCCGUUCUUAGUUGGUGGAGCGAUUUGUCUGGUUAAUUCCGAUAACGAACGAGACUCUAUCCUACUAAAUAGCAAGCGGAUCGGCCCAGUCCGCAGUGCUUCUUAGAGGGACAAGCAGCUUUUAGCUGCACGAAAGUGAGCAAUAACAGGUCUGUGAUGCCCUUAGAUGUCCGGGGCUGCACGCGCGCUACACUGAAAGGAUCAGCGUGCAAGAUACCUUGCCCGAAAGGGCUGGGUAACCCAAUCAAAACCUUUCGUGAUUGGGAUAGGAGAUUGCAAUUAUUCUCCUUGAACGAGGAAUUCCCAGUAAGUGUGGGUCAUCAGCUCGCGCUGAUUACGUCCCUGCCCUUUGUACACACCGCCCGUCGCUGCCCGGAACUGAGCCGUUUCGAGAAGAACAGGGAUUGCUGGAUGGUGACCUUCGGGUUGCCUCCUGGUGAGAACUGUUUUAAUCGGUAUGGCUUGAACCGGGCAAAAGUCGUAACAAGGUU
rnacentral:rRNA from 1 species